GCGGAUCUUGUCCUUCGGGACAAGGUUAGCGGCGGACGGGUGAGUAACACGUAGGCAACCUGCCCUCAAGACUGGGAUAACCUCCGGAAACGGAUGCUAAUACCGGAUAUGCGGUUUCUCCUCCUGGAGAGNCCGGGAAAGACGGAGCAAUCUGUCACUUGGGGAUGGGCCUGCGGCGCAUUAGCUAGUUGGUGAGGUAACGGCUCACCAAGGCGACGAUGCGUAGCCGACCUGAGAGGGUGAUCGGCCACACUGGGACUGAGACACGGCCCAGACUCCUACGGGAGGCAGCAGUAGGGAAUCUUCCGCAAUGGACGCAAGUCUGACGGAGCAACGCCGCGUGAGUGAGGAAGGCCUUCGGGUCGUAAAGCUCUGUUGCCAGGGAAGAACGGGUGGAAGAGUAACUGCUUCCGCCAUGACGGUACCUGAGAAGAAAGCCCCGGCUAACUACGUGC
rnacentral:rRNA from 1 species